AACCAAACCUGGGUUAGCAGCACCCCUAAAUCUUCACAGUACUCAUUAAAGUGUUUUUCCAGAGUGAGGCUCAUCCGUUGCACUCUGGUUGCGCUGACCCCUGCAAGUUCCCCAAAUAUGGGAAACUUGACUGAGUAAUUUAUGAUUAGAAUAGUUUGCUAGCUU